rnacentral:rRNA from 1 species
CUGCGGCGUGCUUAACACAUGCAAGUCGAACGAUGAAGCCCACUUGUGGGUGGAUUAGUGGCGAACGGGUGAGUAACACGUGAGUAACCUGCCCUUGACUCUGGGAUAAGCCUGGGAAACUGGGUCUAAUACCGGAUAUGACUCCUCAUCGCAUGGUGGGGGGUGGAAAGCUUUUUGUGGUUUUGGAUGGACUCGCGGCCUAUCAGCUUGUUGGUGAGGUAAUGGCUUACCAAGGCGACGACGGGUAGCCGGCCUGAGAGGGUGACCGGCCACACUGGGACUGAGACACGGCCCAGACUCCUACGGGAGGCAGCAGUGGGGAAUAUUGCACAAUGGGCGCAAGCCUGAUGCAGCGACGCCGCGUGAGGGAUGACGGCCUUCGGGUUGUAAACCUCUUUCAGUAGGGAAGAAGCCUUUCGGGGUGACGGUACCUGCAGAAGAAGCGCCGGCUAACUACGUGCCAGCAGCCGCGGUAAUACGUAGGGCGCAAGCGUUAUCCGGAAUUAUUGGGCGUAAAGAGCUCGUAGGCGGUUUGUCGCGUCUGCCGUGAAAGUCCGGGGCUCAACUCCGGAUCUGCGGUGGGUACGGGCAGACUAGAGUGAUGUAGGGGAGACUGGAAUUCCUGGUGUAGCGGUGAAAUGCGCAGAUAUCAGGAGGAACACCGAUGGCGAAGGCAGGUCUCUGGGCAUUAACUGACGCUGAGGAGCGAAAGCAUGGGGAGCGAACAGGAUUAGAUACCCUGGUAGUCCAUGCCGUAAACGUUGGGCACUAGGUGUGGGGGACAUUCCACGUUUUCCGCGCCGUAGCUAACGCAUUAAGUGCCCCGCCUGGGGAGUACGGCCGCAAGGCUAAAACUCAAAGGAAUUGACGGGGGCCCGCACAAGCGGCGGAGCAUGCGGAUUAAUUCGAUGCAACGCGAAGAACCUUACCAAGGCUUGACAUGAACCGGACCGCUGCAGAGAUGUGGUUUCCCCUUUGGGGCUGGUUUACAGGUGGUGCA